UCGUGCUAGAUGGGGAGCUAGCGGUGCCCUGUACCCGCAAACCGCUCUAGCGGGGUCGAAUUCCCCCUCGCGGGGCGAUCCCAGGGGCUGAUGCUCGGCCAAGUGGUGUUGAGGGCUGGGUCCCGCGCGGCGGAGGCCUGUGAACCCCGUCAGGUCCGGGAGGAAGCAGCGGUAAACAGUAUCCUCUGGGUGACGCGGGAGCGCCUGGCCUGAGCAGGCUGGCCGAGACGGGUCUUUGUGGAAGCCACAACAGGGGGUGCACGA
rnacentral:SRP_RNA from 1 species